GCUCGACAGCACCAGCGAGUAGCACACUACGCUGUCGACAACCGGAUCCUCCUCACAACUGACUCCGGCAUGGGCUUGCUCGCGCUCGACAGGACCAGCGAGUAGCACACUACGCUGUUGACAACCGGAUCCUCCUCACAACUGACUCCGGCAUGGUACCCAUUCCAACCCAAGAAGACGACUCAAGGGAGGACUGAUCUAUAUGUAGGCAGAUGGAUGAAUUCCAAGCCAUGAGAUAAAGUACCCUAAACCGAACUUACUAUUUAUUUGCAGUUUGCGAGUACACUUGUACUUCCCUGAUUUCUGCCCCAAAUAGCAUGCUUCCAAAUCCAUGUGUAGUUCCCUGCGUGCUAUGUUUCCAAUCA